rnacentral:rRNA from 1 species
UGGGGGAAUAUUGCACAAUGGGCGAAAGCCUGAUGCAGCAACGCCGCGUGAGUGAUGAAGGUCUUCGGAUUGUAAAGCUCUGUCUUUUGGGACGAUAAUGACGGUACCAAAGGGGGAAGCCACGGCUAACUACGUGCCAGCAGCCGCGGUAAUACGUAGGUGGCGAGCGUUGUCCGGAUUUACUGGGCGUAAAGGGUGCGUAGGCGGAUGUUUAAGUGAGAUGUGAAAUACCCGGGCUUAACUUGGGUGCUGCAUUUCAAACUGGAUAUCUAGAGUGCAGGAGAGGAGAAUGGAAUUCCUAGUGUAGCGGUGAAAUGCGUAGAGAUUAGGAAGAACACCAGUGGCGAAGGCGAUUCUCUGGACUGUAACUGACGCUGAGGCACGAAAGCGUGGGUAGCAAACAGGAUUAGAUACCCUGGUAGUCCACGCCGUAAACGAUGAGUACUAGGUGUAGGAGGUAUCGACCCCUUCUGUGCCGCAGUAAACACAUUAAGUACUCCGCCUGGGAAGUACGAUCGCAAGAUUAAAACUCUAAAGUGAAUUGAC